rnacentral:rRNA from 1 species
AUUGAACGCUGGCGGCAUGCUUUACACAUGCAAGUCGAACGGUAACAGGCCGCAAGGUGCUGACGAGUGGCGAACGGGUGAGUAAUGCAUCGGAACGUGCCCAGUCGUGGGGGAUAACGCAGCGAAAGCUGCGCUAAUACCGCAUACGAUCUAUGGAUGAAAGCGGGGGACCGGAAGGCCUCGCGCGAUUGGAGCGGCCCAUGUCAGAUUAGGUAGUUGGUGAGGUAAAGGCUCACCAAGCCGACGAUCUGUAGCUGGUCUGAGAGGACGACCAGCCACACUGGGACUGAGACACGGCCCAGACUCCUACGGGAGGCAGCAGUGGGGAAUUUUGGACAAUGGGGGCAACCCUGAUCCAGCAAUGCCGCGUGCAGGAAGAAGGCCUUCGGGUUGUAAACUGCUUUUGUACGGAACGAAACGGCUCUGGUUAAUACCUGGGGCUAAUGACGGUACCGUAAGAAUAAGCACCGGCUAACUACGUGCCAGCCGCCGCGGUAAGAC